rnacentral:rRNA from 1 species
GAUGAACGCUGGCGGCGUGCCUAAUACAUGCAAGUCGAGCGAACGGACGAGAAGCUUGCUUCUCUGAUGUUAGCGGCGGACGGGUGAGUAACACGUGGAUAACCUACCUAUCAGACUGGGAUAACUUCGGGAAACCGGAGCUAAUACCGGAUAAUAUUUUGAACCGCAUGGUUCAAAAGUGAAAGACGGUCUUGCUGUCACUUAUAGAUGGAUCCGCGCUGCAUUAGUUAGUUGGUAAGGUAACGGCUUACCAAGGCAACGAUGCAUAGCCGACCUGAGCGGGUGAUCGGCCACAUGGUAACAGAGACACGGUCCAGACUCCGACGGGAGGCAGCAGUAGGGAAUCUUACGCAAUGGGCGAAAGGCGGACGGAGCACCGCCGCGUGAGGGAUGAAGGUCCUCGGAUCGUAAAACGCUGUUAUUAUGGAAGAACAUAUGUGUAAGUAACUGUGCACAUCUUGACGGUACCUAAUCAGAAAGCCACGGCUAACUACGUG